rnacentral:misc_RNA from 1 species
UAAAGAUACGAGGAGCUGUC